UACGGAAGGGGGCUAGCGUUGCUCGGAAUCACUGGGCGUAAAGGGCGCGUAGGCGGACUUUUAAGUCGGGGGUGAAAAGCCCAGGGCUCAACCCUGGAAUUGCCUUCGAUACUGAGAGUCUUGAGUUCGGAAGAGGUUGGUGGAACUGCGAGUGUAGAGGUGAAAUUCGUAGAUAUUCGCAAGAACACCAGUGGCGAAGGCGGCCAACUGGUCCGAUACUGACGCUGAGGCGCGAAAAGCGGUGGGGAGCGAACGA
rnacentral:rRNA from 1 species